GACGAACGCUGGCGGCGUGCUUAACACAUGCAAGUCGAACGGUGACGAGGAGCUUGCUCCUCUGAUCAGUGGCGAACGGGUGAGUAACACGUGAGCAACCUGCCCCAGACUCUGGGAUAACAGUUGGAAACAGCUGCUAAUACCGGAUACGAGACGGAGAGGCAUCUCUACCGUCUGGAAAGUUUUUCGGUCUGGGAUGGACUCGCGGCCUAUCAGCUAGUUGGUGAGGUAAUGGCUCACCAAGGCGACGACGGGUAGCCGGCCUGAGAGGGCGACCGGCCACACUGGGACUGAGACACGGCCCAGACUCCUACGGGAGGCAGCAGUGGGGAAUAUUGCACAAUGGGCGAAAGCCUGAUGCAGCGACGCCGCGUGAGGGAUGACGGCCUCGGUGUAACUACUUCUAGCAGGAGAAGACGAAGUAGACGGUACCGUAGUCAGAAGAAGACACCGGACCGUAACUACGUAGCCACGCAGCCGCGGUAACGUAC
rnacentral:rRNA from 1 species